GGAUCAAUGUUUCGGUCAUGCCGUUGGUAUGUACUGAUAUUAUUGGUUUCUCACCUUCUAAAGAACCGUAAUGCCAUUAAUUUGGUGUCACGGGGAAUUAGGACUGUUACCUUGAAAAAAUUAGAGUGUUUAAAGCAGGCUCACGCUUGAAUACAUUAGCAUGGAAUAAUGAAAUAGGACAUCGCAUUCUAUUUUGUUGGUUUCUAGGAUCGAUGUAAUGAUUAAUAGGGAUAGUUGGG
rnacentral:rRNA from 1 species